CCUACGGGGUGCAGCAGUGAGGAAUAUUGGUCAAUGGCCGGGAGUCUGAACCAGCCAAGUCGCGUGAGGGAAGACGGCCCUACGGGUUGUAAACCUCUUUUGUCAGGGAGCAAGGUGCAGGUCGGGACCUGCUGUGAGCGUACCUGAAGAACAAGCAUCGGCUAACUCCGUGCCAGCAGCCGCGGUAAUACGGAGGAUCCGGGCGUUAUCCGGAUUUAUUGGGUUUAAAGGGAGCGUAGGUGGAUUGUUAAGUCAGUUGUGAAAGUUUGCGGCUCAACCGUAAAAUUGCAGUUGAAACUGGCAGUCUUGAGUACAGUAGAGGUGGGCGGAAUUCGUGGUGUAGCGGUGAAAUGCUUAGAUAUCACGAAGAACUCCGAUUGCGAAGGCAGCUCACUGGACUGCAACUGACACUGAUGCUCGAAAGUGUGGGUAUCAAACAGGAUUAGAUACCCUGGUAGUC
rnacentral:rRNA from 1 species